AACCCGUAGAAUCGAACUUGUGUUCUAGUACUGACGUCACAAGCUCGUUUGUAUGGGCCUA
rnacentral:pre_miRNA from 1 species